UCCCUGUAGCUCUAAUGGUAAAGAAUCUGCCUGCAAUGCAGGGGACUAGGGUUCGAUCCCUGAAUUGGGAA
rnacentral:tRNA from 1 species